rnacentral:rRNA from 1 species
UACGUAGGGUGCAAGCGUUGUCCGGAAUUAUUGGGCGUAAAGAGCUCGUAGGCGGUCUGUCGCGUCUGCUGUGAAAACUCGGGGCUUAACCCCGGGCCUGCAGUGGGUACGGGCAGACUAGAGUGCGGUAGGGGAGACUGGAAUUCCUGGUGUAGCGGUGAAAUGCGCAGAUAUCAGGAGGAACACCGGUGGCGAAGGCGGCGACCUGGGUCGAGACUGACGCUGAGGCGCGAAGGCCAGGGGAGCAAACGGG